rnacentral:rRNA from 1 species
CAAGAAGGGGUAGAGGGUAAGGGGAGGGAGUACGAAAGGUGUGCCCAGCUAUCUUAGGUCGUUAGGGAUCGGCGGCCUUAAGCUGGGUGGCAUCGGCCGCUCUCAGGUGGCGGCUACCCCUCUCGGAAAGGUCAACCUUGCUGGUGGGUGUAGCCCCGUCUCCCCUUGGCGCACGCACCGGUUGUUCACCUGGCUGCCCGCUCUACGACGCGGCGCCUGCGCUGCCCCUCUUCUCUCCUUCCCCCGCGCGCACCCGCCGACCGGAUGUUCCUUGGUUGCGCAGAGACGGUGUAGAUGUUUGGCGUCCGUUGUCUUUUAUCACCUUUGAUCCGUGAUCUGUUGGAAAAGGCGGUAGGGGACCGAGCCGUCCAAAAUUCUACCUCCUGAGAGGUCUAGUUAUGCUACCGCUCUUCGUUCCACGUUCUGUUAUGUCUUCUAUGUUAAGUUCUAAAUCGUUGAAAAUAGAUCGUAGGUAAAGAUGUCCCAUGCCCCUACGUUCUUGUCCCCUGUUCUAGGUUCAGUACAAGACGUUUGUGAAACCAUGUACCCCGUUAAAAACAUUGAUCUUCUAAUCCCCCCUUCCAUGUCUCACCUUUUAUGUGAUCAAGAUCUUGAUUUUCUUCAAGUACCGGUUUUAUUAACCUUGUUGGAAAAAUGGGAAACAACAAAGUUACCCUCUUUGUACGGGUUGAGACGGUUAUAAAAACGGGUAUUAAGUAGUCUUAAAAACGGACUAUUCGUUCUUCUCAACGUCUGUGUUAACGCAAAAGUCUUAAAAAAAAGGGUACUAAAAAACGAAACAACAAAAGCGGGAAUAAAAAUGAGACAAAAAAGCUACAUCCUCCUCUCGAGGGGUUGCGAUGCGGUACCGUAGGCUGCCACCGACCCCUUCCUCAACGUGUCCUCUAGACCCGACCACCCGCAACCCAAAAGAUCACCACCCACCUCCCCUCCUAGUGCACUCCCUUUCCUACCAACCAACAGCUCUGCACCGUUGUUCGCUCCCUUUAACCUGAACGGAAAAAAUCGUGUACCCCACCCCCUGGCUAUCCCUGUGAAAAGAAUUCACGGCCGGCGCUCUAGGUGAGCGUAUCGCGCGCCCGCGACACAUCGUUGCAGGUAUCUACUAAUCCC